AGCAGCCGCGGUAAUUCCAGCUCCAAUAGCGUAUAUUAAAGUUGUUGCAGUUAAAAAGCUCGCAGUUGAAUUUCGGGAUCAAGUCGUCGGUCGUGCUCAAGUACGUACUGGCGUCAUUGAUUUCUCCCUUCUGACGAACCAUGAUGUCAUUAAUUUGGUGUUAUGGGAAAUCAGGACUGUUACUUUGAAAAAUUAGAGUGUUUAAAGCAGGCUCACGCUUGAAUACAUUAGCAUGGAAUAAUGAAAUAGGACGUUCGAUCCUAUUUUGUUGGUUUUAGGAUCAACGUAAUGAUUAAUAGGGAUAGCUGGGGGCAUUAGAUUCAAUUGUCAGAGGUGAAAUUCUUGGAUUUAUUGAAGACUAACUACUGCGAAAGCAUUUGCCAAGGAUGUUUUCAUUAAUUAAGAACGAAAGUUAGGGGAUCGAAGACGAUCAGAUACCGUCGUAGUCUUAAACCAUAAAACUAUGCCGACUAGGGAUCGGAUGAUGUUAAUUUUAAUGACUCAUUCGG
rnacentral:misc_RNA from 1 species